UCAAUAUCAAGUUUUAAGAUGCAACAUCUCUACCUACUCUUUUCGAAGGAUCAUCAUUACUUUUUCAGUGUUCUUAUGUACCUUUAAUAGUGUUUAGAAUAAAAGGAAACAAAAUUGAAAAAUAAUUCUACAUAAUUGAUGCUCAAGGUGAUCAAAUUUUUUCUUUAUUCACAAUUUUUGUUUUGAAAGUCUGGUUGAUUACGCAUAUUGUUUGAUUAGAUUAUAGUUUUAAAUUUGAUGGAAUGCUUGCCUUUAUGCACAGAGACUAUGCUUUGCAUCGGAAGUUAAUGGCAUCGUUAUCCUUCUUCAUUUUUUAUGCCUUCGUACAUUAAGGAAGUUCAAUGGAUAAAUGAAGGAUUUAGGGAGAACUUAUUGGUAACCAAGGACUUUGUGAAGAUAGCAAAUUUUGGCCUUGCUUGUGAAGUUCAUUCGAAGCCACCAUUCACAGAAUAGGUUUCAACACGCUGUUUACAAAUCUCAAGUACUC